CCAAUAGCGUAUAUUAAAGUUGUUGCAGUUAAAAAGCUCGUAGUUGAAUUUCGGGAUCAAUGUUUCGGUCAUGCCGUUGGUAUGUACUGAUAUUAUUGGUUUCUCACCUUCUAAAGAACCGUAAUGCCAUUAAUUUGGUGUCACGGGGAAUUAGGACUGUUACCUUGAAAAAAUUAGAGUGUUUAAAGCAAGCUCACGCUUGAAUACAUUAGCAUGGAAUAAUGAAAUAGGACAUCCGAUUCUAUUUUGUUGGUUUCUAGGAUCGAUGUAAUGAUUAAUAGGGAUAGUUGGGGGCAUUAGUAUUCAAUUGUCAGAGGUGAAAUUCUUGGAUUUAUUGAAGACUAACUACUGCGAAAGCAUUUGCCAAGGAUGUUUUCAUUAAUCAAGAACGAAAGUUAGGGGAUCGAAGACGAUCAGAUACCGUCGUAGUCUUAACCAUAAACUAUGCCGACUAGGGAUCGGAUGAUGUUAAUUUUUUAAUGACUCAUUCGGCGCCUUACG
rnacentral:rRNA from 1 species